GCGGCGGUUUCUCCGAGUUCGCGCCGUCCGUUCGUCUCACCGUUCCGAAACCCUUGAGCUAAGACUCCGUCUUUUAGAUCUCAAGAUGCUAAUCACGAGAAAGGAGAGUUUGGAGUAGGACAAUCGACCGGAAGGAUAAGGAAGCGGCAGCGUUGACGGCGGAUUCGGCUCGAGAAGAGCCAUUCGAAACUACCAAACGAUGCAACAUCUCCGAGAAACAAUUGCGUAGUCUUCUCUGGUUGUCUCGCGUCUGUAUCAGCUCUCGCUCUUGCAGGACGGACCAGGGGAGGAUUUACGUUGAGGCACGGUAGGGGUGCCCUAAAUAGUUAUUUUUACCAAAAUUACGAGUUCGUAGUUCCCAUUCCGCACCUCAGGUCGCUGCCUAACGGUGAUUGGUCCUCGAUUCCGGCGGAUCAACUGCACUUGAUCGGCUCCUCUUCUGUGGGCUGCGGCCGGGAAUUAAUUCGUGCCCUGCCAAGGAGAGAAUGCUAGUUCCGCCAACUGAGGGAGGCGAUCCUGCCCAUUCCAGGACACAACUGUCCAUUGUAAACCUAGAUAGGAGGCUCUAAUUUCUUUUUUGCAAGAGUUCUUGAGUCGUUUCUUCCCUGCGUCAAUAUCAUUCCUGUUCAUUUCCAACAUGACAGAGUAUUGGGUCAGUCAAGGAAGCAAAUGGUGUGAUUUCUGCAAGAAAUAUAUCUCCAACAAUCCUCUGAGCAUAAGAACCCAUGAACUUGGUCAGCGUCACAAGGACAAUGUCACAAAGAGGCUUGCUACUGUGAGAAAGGAGAGUGCUGCAAAGGAGAAGCAACUAAAAGCAGCUGCACGAGCUCUUAAGGAUAUUGAAACAAAAGCAAAACAAAGUUAUCAGAAGGAUUUGGCUUCUUUGGGCAGAACUGGCCCUUCCACUGGACUGGAUAUAUCCUAACGAGAAAAAUACAGAUAAAUCUCAAUGUUCAUCUGUAACUAAAAGUGGAGACGGGAUUGCAUCCAAUUCCAAAGGUGGUCCUUCCCCAGGGAGGGUCGUUUCCACACUUCUGAACCCCACAAGAGCAGUUAAAGGUGCAGCAUCUUCCAUCGCUGUUAAUAAAAGAAAGAGGGAUGAUGGAAAAGCGAAGGUGAUAACCAAGGAGGAAGCAGAGGCUCUGAAAACAAGGGAGGCUGCAAGGAAAAGAAUGGAAGAGAGGGAGAAGCCAUUCAUGGGCCUCUACAAGUCAUGCUAGCUUUCCUUGGGUGCAAGCAAAUGUGUGCAUGCGAUGGGAAUCUUAUUUUUGGCUCAUUUGGCAUGAUAGUAACAACUACAAAUCCAUCCAACAGGUAUUUCACCUAACGAAUGCCGAUAUCAUCGUCGCCUUCAGUUGGAUGCGUUGGAGCUGUUCUUCUGUCGGUGAGCUGCGGAAGAUGAACAACACCCAUUCUACACUUGUUCACAUUGCUGCAACCCAAACCGGCUGCUGCUUGUUGGGUCACUCUUGUUCUUUAAUAUAAUGCCAACCACCGCAUGCGAGAAGAGGCUGGCUUGUCACCGACCUUGCCAUGGACCCGACCAGAGGACUUGGUGAUCGAAAAUUCAGAUUUCUCUCAAUUGUUCAUCAUUCAACUUUGAAUAUACCUUCAAGUUCAACAUGCCAACUUCGACCACCAUCAAUCUACCAUCCGUGCAAUAAAUGUUUUGCCCUGCAUUUAGUUUUUUUAAUUUUAUUUCCUGUGUUGAUGUUUAGUGAUUGAGUGGAGCAAAAUGUCAUAAUUUAUUCACUA